rnacentral:rRNA from 1 species
GUAUGCAACCUACCCUAUACAGGGGGAUAGCCCAGAGAAAUUUGGAUUAAUACCCCAUGGUACUAUCAGAUGGCAUCUGAAGAUAGUUAAAGAUUUAUUGGUAUAGGAUGGGCAUGCGUUAGAUUAGUUAGUUGGUGAGGUAACGGCUCACCAAGGCGACGAUCUAUAGGGGUUCUGAGAGGAUGAUCCCCCACACUGGCACUG